GAUGAACGCUGGCGGCGUGCCUAGUACAUGCAAGUCGAGCGAACAGACGAGGAGCUUGUUCCUCUGACGUUAGCGGCGGACGGGUGAGUAACACGUGGAUAACCUACCUAUAAGACUGGGAUAACUUCGGGAAACCGGAGCUAAUACCGGAUAACAUGUUGAACCGCAUGGUUCAACAGUGAAAGACGGUCUUGCUGUCACUUAUAGAUGGAUCCGCGCCGCAUUAGCUAGUUGGUAAGGUAACGGCUUACCAAGGCAACGAUGCGUAGCCGACCUGAGAGGGUGAUCGGCCACACUGGAACUGAGACACGGUCCAGACUCCUACGGGAGGCAGCAGUAGGGAAUCUUCCGCAAUGGGCGAAAGCCUGACGGAGCAACGCCGCGUGAGUGAAGAAGGUCUUCGGAUCGUAAAACUCUGUUAUUAGGGAAGAACAAAUGUGUAAGUAACUAUGCACGUCUUGACGGUACCUAAUCAGAAAGCCACGGCUAACUACGUG
rnacentral:rRNA from 1 species